rnacentral:sRNA from 1 species
AAGAUGAAACACUUUGCCAGAGUGAGAAACUUGACAUUCAUUUCAGUGACAGUGAUCACUGUCGGAAGUAUGACAGUCAAGUUUGUUUGGAAGAUCCUGAGUGCAUCUUUUGUAACACCUCACUCUCUGACACAGAGGGUCCUGUCUGUUUACAUCGUACACUUAAGGAGCAUUGUGUGGGUCCCAUCUCUGACCCUCCUGACAGAUGCCCUGGCAUAUGCCCAUCACUUCACACAUGUGGUGCCUGCAUCAGCCAAGGUAAAGGUGUUAGAGUGACCAGUGAUGUCCAGCGUAAACAUGUCUACCUUCAGCAGUGUAGUUGGUGUGUCAAAGAGGCUCAAUGUCAGACCAGAUCAUCUCCAGCGGGUACUUGUAGAUCUGCCAAUGGCACAGUGACUGGUGUUGUAGGC